rnacentral:rRNA from 1 species
UACGGAGGGUGCGAGCGUUGUCCGGAAUCACUGGGCGUAAAGGGCGCGUAGGCGGCGCGGGAAGUCAUCGGUGAAAGUUCAGGGCUCAACUCUGAAUCGGCCGGUGAUACUCUCGUGCUUGAGCACUGUAGAGGCAGGUGGAAUUCCGGGUGUAGCGGUGGAAUGCGUAGAGAUCCGGAGGAACACCGGUGGUGUAGACGGCUCUCUGGACCGUAACUGACGCUGAGACACGAAAGCGUGGGUAGCAAACAGG